CAGCCGCCACGGUAAUACGUAGGGUGCGAGCGUUAAUCGGAAUUACUGGGCGUAAAGCGUGCGCAGGCGGUUUUGUAAGACAAGCGUGAAAUCCCCGGGCUCAACCUGGGAACGACGCUUGUGACUGCAAAGCUAGAGUGCGGCAGAGGGGGAUGGAAUUCCGCGUGUAGCAGUGAAAUGCGUAGAUAUGCGGAGGAACACCGAUGGCGAAGGCAAUCCCCUGGGCCUGCACUGACGCUCAUGCACGAAAGCGUGGGGAGCAAACAGGAUUAGAUACCCCCGUAGUCCCUGUCUCUUAUAC
rnacentral:rRNA from 1 species